AUAAACGCUGGCGGCGCACAUAAGACAUGCAAGUCGAACGGAAGUCGUUAUAAAAAGGAUUGAAGAUUUAUCUGAUUGAGAUUUUAUAACAAUGGCUUUAGUGGCGGACUGGUGAGUAACGCGUGAGCAACCUGCCUACUAGAGGGGAAUAACAGUGAGAAAUCAUUGCUAAUACCGCAUAUGCCAUGAACAUCACAUGAUGAAAAUGGGAAAAGAGUAAUCUGCUAGUAGAUGGGCUCGCGUCUGAUUAGAUAGUUGGUGGGGUAACGGCCUACCAAGUCAACGAUCAGUAGCCGGACUGAGAGGUUGAACGGCCACAUUGGGACUGAGAUACGGCCCAGACUCCUACGGGAGGCAGCAGUCGGGAAUAUUGCGCAAUGGAGGAAACUCUGACGCAGUGACGCCGCGUAUAGGAAGAAGGUUUUCGGAUUGUAAACUAUUGUCGUUAGGGAAGAUACAAGACAGUACCUAAGGAGGAAGCUCCGGCUAACUACGUGCCAGCAGCCGCGGUAAUACGUAGGGAGCAAGCGUUAUCCGGAUUUAUUGGGUGUAAAGGGUGCGUAGACGGGACAACAAGUUAGUUGUGAAAUCCCUCGGCUUAACUGAGGAACUGCAACUAAAACUAUUGUUCUUGAGUGUUGGAGAGGAAAGUGGAAUUCCUAGUGUAGCGGUGAAAUGCGUAGAUAUUAGGAGGAACACCGGUGGCGAAGGCGACUUUCUGGACAAUAACUGACGUUGAGGCACGAAAGUGUGGGGAGCAAACAGGAUUAGAUACCCUGGUAGUCCACACAGUAAACGAUGAAUACUCGCUGUUUGCGAUAUACAGCAAGCGGCCAAGCGAAAGCGUUAAGUAUUCCACCUGGGGAGUACGCCGGCAACGGUGAAACUCAAAGGAAUUGACGGGGGCCCGCACAAGCAGUGGAGUAUGUGGUUUAAUUCGAAGCAACGCGAAGAACCUUACCAGGGCUUGACAUAUAGAUGAAUAACUAAGAGAUUAGUUAGUCCUUCGGGACAUCUAUACAGGUGGUGCAUGGUUGUCGUCAGCUCGUGUCGUGAGAUGUUAGGUUAAGUCCUGCAACGAGCGCAACCCCUGUGAUUAGUUGCCAACAGGUUAAGCUGGGAACUCUAAUCAGACUGCCGGUGAUAAAUCGGAGGAAGGUGGGGAUGACGUCAAAUCAUCAUGCCCUUUAUGUCCUGGGCUACACACGUACUACAAUGGCUGUAACAGAGAGAAGCAACACCGCGAGGUAGAGCGAAACUCCAAAAGCAGUCUCAGUUCGGAUUGAAGGCUGAAAUUCGCCUUCAUGAAGCCGGAAUUGCUAGUAAUGGCAGGUCAGCAUACUGCCGUGAAUACGUUCCCGGGCCUUGUACACACCGCCCGUCACACCAUGAGAGUUGGGAAUACCCGAAGCCUGUGAGCCAACUGUAAAGAGGCAGCAGUCGAAGGUAGAAUCAAUGAUUGGGGUG
rnacentral:rRNA from 1 species